CCACAGAGCAGGGGCCCUUCCUGCACCAGAUCAGGGCUUUAUAAACCAGCUGCCCUCCCUCCCUGAUGGCUGUAUGGGAGGCUGUGUUGGGACUGUCCCAGAUGGCAGAAACAGGCAGGUACUCAUGGGAAAUGACACAGUGUGCAUGAUGGGAAUCGUGGAUCGCAGCCGAGGACCAGGAGAGGACGACGUCGCUCCUCGCCGCGUGCGCCCUGCUUGCACCACACCUGCACUUCCCCUCUGUGUGAUAGCGCUGUCCCCCAAAAGGGGCUGCAAAGCUUCCUUGGGCGGCCUGUUCCAGCACGUCACCGCUCUUUUGGAGAAGAAAUGUUUCCUAAUAUCCAUCCUGAACCUCCCCUGGCAUGGCUUGAGGCCGUUCCCUCUCAUCUUCUCGCAGCUGCCCAGGAGAAGAGGCCGACCCCCACCUCGCUACAACCUCCCAGCUGUUGUGUCCACAGUGAGUCCACGGCAGCAGCUCGGGGUGGUGGAAGGCGGCUAUUUGUUUUGGAAGACACACAGUGGUACACAUAUAAAUGCAGGAAAAAGAAGAAUUUAUACAGAGUGGUACCACCAGGUCAAACUCAGAUGCACUGCCAGCUCCCUUAAUCCAAGGUAGGACAUGGACAGCAUGAAUGAAGAGAGGAGGAGGCUGACAGCAAGAGAUUUGCCACCUCAGGCAGGUGAUGUUUCCCACUGAGACCUCCAGUGCUUCCUGGGAGAGGAGAAAAGUGGCACAGACCUGUUCAAGGAGAUCUCUAACGGGAGGAAUUCUGCAGCUUCCUCACAAUCUGCAGCCUUAUUGUUGGCAAGGAUCUAGAGGCAGGCCAUGGAUGGAUGUGAGCCAGGGUGAAGCAGAGCUCCAAAGGAGUGUGAUACAGAGAUGGAUUACGCAGUCUCAAGCAGGCUCUGCUCUUCUCAUUAAAUGGCUGUGAAGCCCAUGCUCUUAAACCACCAGGGAGCAGGAGGACAUCACAUGGUUGCCCAUGAGUGCCCAAGCUGCUUCCCAUGGCUAUGCAGUGUUGGCAAGGAUUUUGGUGUCAGCUCUCCAAGGAGAUCCACAGCAAACUCCUGACCUGGAGCCUCUCAGCAGAUUUCCCAAUGAGUACAGGAGAUACUGGGUGAGGCCCUGCCAAAGCAAAGUGACUGACAAAGUGACCUAGCUGAUGUGGCUUGUGGUCACGAGCAACAAAUUCAGCAGUGAUAUUCCUGGGUAUGGAGCUCAGGUAUUGCAUCUGUACCAAGGAGGCACAAGGGGCCGUUGAGCUGUAGCUCUCUAACUCCUCUGCAAGGCUCAGGAGAUGUGGGAUGCUUUGCUGUUGGCUUGAUAGGAGGAAAUGCUGCUUUCCUGUGAGUGAGUGAAGUUAACCCAAGACAUAGUUUUCAGCACAGAAACACCUUUCCAGCUCUGUUUCAUGGAGAAGAGACCCAACAGCUCCCUGCGAGCUGACCUGAAGCUGCAGGAAUAUUCUGAGGUGGAGUCACGACUAUUAAAGCAAAAAUAAGAUGAUGCAAGGACACAGCUCACUUGGUGUCAGCCUUUCCUGCGGAAACACAAAGAGGGUUUGUUGAUGCCACGUGUAGGCUGCCUCAGGUCGAGUCAUAUUUCUUUCUUUAUGGAGAUGAAGUUAGUCUUUAAGGCACCAGCUCAAAAUGGCCUUUCUUUCAUUACAAAGUUAUUUAGUUACGGGUAGGUAACUCUAAAUGACAUUUCUACAUCUUGCACUUUAUUAGUUGAUCCUAGCUGCUAAAUUACACAGAGUGAGCAGCAGAGUACAGCGGGGGAGUUGAGUGUGUUUUGGCUAAUUUUGGAUGGGGUCCAACCUUCUGGAGUUGGAAAUUUGCCUCCGAGAUGAUGAGCUUGUGCACCUCCCUCGGGGAGGGUUGUGAAGUCAGAAAGCAAAAAGGACUGGUGAAGAAUUAAAAACAAAAGUGUAAACACUGGGCUAUUUCCCUGCUCCCCGGAGAGCUCUGUGAGCACUGAGCUGUGUACUGUUCAGGAGAGGAAAAGCCAGCUCAGCGUCACUGACUUACUCAGAGGGUGAUGAGGCAGUGGUGCCAGCUACCCAGAAAGCUGUGAGUGCCCCCUCCCUGGAGGUGCUCAAGGCCAGGUGGGGUGAGCCCCUGGGCAGCCUGAGCUGGUGGGUGGCAACCAGCCUACAGCAGGGGGUUGGGACCAGGUGGGCUUUAAGGUCCUCUCCAACCUAAGCCUUUCCAUGAUUCCAUGACUUGAGCUAGUGCUGGAGAUGAUGCUGGCAAGGGAACAGAUGACCACAAAGCCACCCACCCUUCCCACCUUACUUUGCUUUAAUCUGUGGAGAAGAUGCACUCUAACCUGCAGCAUGAAGAUUUUUUUUUCCCCAGCUCCAAAUCUACUAAUUUGGAGGAAAGCCUGAGUCCUCCUGAAGCUGGCAGGACUCCUUGUCAACAUGCACAAAACCCCAGAGCAGAUGGGCACAGAUUUUGGCUAAGCACAGCAGCAGUUGUUGAGUAUUACAGUCUGUCAUCUCAUCCAGGAGCAUCCCAGCAGCUGCCUUUGCUUCUCCCUUUACUGAGAGGUGUCAGUGUGCCUCUCCUUGCACCCAGCAUCGCACUGCUGCCACUGAAGUUUCGAUUUCUAUGGCCAAGAAUGUUUUCUAUUGCAAUCUCAGCUCUUGCUUUUAAAAGCCAUACAGAGAAAUGACAUACAUUCAAGUGUAGACAUGUUUCUUCAACAGCUCAUGCUUGCCCUUCCAUAACUUUCAUGUCCUAAGGAUCAUGGAAAACCUGGUAGUACAUUACUUUCAGUAGGCUGCCAGAAAGAGAGUUCAUUUAGUUUGAUGACAGAUUAAUACUGAUUCACAAAUUAAUUUUGUCUCUUUGUAUAUCAAGGGUGUCCACAACUUAUUUAAUUUGUAAUAAAUAUAAUUAUAGAAAUGAAUGAGCUAUCAAGAUUUUUAAAGUAUGAUCCAUCAAUGUUGGCAUGACUUGUAAUCCUGGUCAUUAUAAAUAAAAUG
ensembl:lncRNA